ACUCCCUCCGUCCCUGAAUAAGUGACCUAUUUGACCAUUUCACACAGAUUAAGAAAAGUGUAAAGAUGAAAGAAAGAGAGUGAUACUUUUACUGAGUUGCCCUUGUCAUUAUUUUGAAACUUUUUCACUUUUAAGUAAUGAUUACUUUCUUUGUUCCACUACAAACUUUAACAUGGGGACCACAAAAAGUAUUUAUAAGGGGUAAAUCUGUCAAAUUUUGCUUAGAAAUCUGAGAAGGUCAAGUAUUGUGGGACAAAUAUUUUUUAC
rnacentral:lncRNA from 1 species